GAUGAACGCUGGCGGCGUGCCUAAUACAUGCAAGUCGAGCGAACGGACGAGAAGCUUUCUUCUCUUAUGUUUGCGGCGCACGUGUGUGUAACACGUGUAUAACCUACCUAUAAGACUUGUAUAACUUCGUGAAACCUGAUCUAAUACCGUAUAAUAUUUUUAACCGCAUGGUUCAAAAGUGCUAUACGGUCUUUCUGUCUCUUAUACAUUCUUUCGCGCUGCUUUAGAUAGUUGGUAAGGUAACGGCUUACCAAGGCAACGAUGGAUAGCCGAACUGAGAGGGUGAUCGGAGACACUGGAACUGAGACAGGGACAAGAGGACUAAGGGAGGCAGCAGUAGGGAAUAUGAGGCAAUGGGGGAAAGCAUGACGGAGAAAAGCGGAGUGAGAGAAGAAGGUGUUGGGAGAGUAAAAAUCUGUUAUUAGGGAAGAAAAUAUGUGAAAGUAAAUGUGGACAAAGUGACGGUACCUAAAGAGAAAGCAACGGCUAACUACGUG
rnacentral:rRNA from 1 species